rnacentral:rRNA from 1 species
AACGAACGCUGGCGGCAUGCCUAACACAUGCAAGUCGAACGAGACCUUCGGGUCUAGUGGCGCACGGGUGCGUAACGCGUGGGAACCUGCCCUUAGGUUCGGAAUAACUCCCCGAAAGGGGUGCUAAUACCGGAUAAUGUCUUCGGACCAAAGAUUUAUCGCCUUUGGAUGGGCCCGCGUUGGAUUAGCUAGUUGGUAGGGUAAAAGCCUACCAAGGCGACGAUCCAUAGCUGGUCUGAGAGGAUGAUCAGCCACACUGGGACUGAGACACGGCCCAAACUCCUGCGGGGGAAGACAGGGGGGAAGAUGGAAAAAGGGGGAAAGAACAAGGCCAGCAAAGCCGGGGAAGUGAUGAAGGCAUUAGGGUUGGAAAGCUUUUUUACCCGGGAUAAAAAGAAAAGAACCGGGAAAAAAAGCACCGGAAAACCCGGG